rnacentral:rRNA from 1 species
GAUGAACGCUAGCUACAGGCUUAACACAUGCAAGUCGAGGGGCAGCGGAGAGGUAGCAAUACCUUUGCCGGCGACCGGCGCACGGGUGAGUAACACGUAUGCAAUCCACCUGUAACAGGGGGAUAACCCGGAGAAAUCCGGACUAAUACCCCAUAAUAUGGGCGCUCCGCAUGGAGGGUCCAUUAAAGAGAGCAAUUUUGGUUACAGACGAGCAUGCGCUCCAUUAGCCAGUUGGCGGGGUAACGGCCCACCAAAGCGACGAUGGAUAGGGGUUCUGAGAGGAAGGUCCCCCACAUUGGAACUGAGACACGGUCCAAACUCCUACGGGAGCAGCAGUGAGGAAUAUUGGUCAAUGGACGAGAGUCUGAACCAGCCAAGUAGCGUGAAGGAUGACUGCCCUAUGGGUUGUAAACUUCUUUAUAUGGGAAUAAAGUAUUCCACGUGUGGGAUUUUGAUGUACCAUAUGAAUAAGGAUCGGCUAACUCCGUGCCAGCAGCCGACGG